rnacentral:ncRNA from 2 species
CAUCAACACUAGGGGUGCCGUUAUGGCUGAGAUGAAGUAUAAGACUUCGGACCCUUAAUUACCUGAUCUGGGUUAUACCAGCGUAGGGAAGUGUACGUAUAUGGAC